ensembl:miRNA mir-1 ncRNA
CAUACUUCCUUACAUGCCCAUA